rnacentral:rRNA from 1 species
CGCCAACACUGGGACUGAGAACUGCCCAGACUCCUACGGGAGGCUGCAGUCGAGAAUCAUUCGCAAUGGGCGAAAGCCUGACGAUGCGACGCCGUGUGUAUGAUGAAGGCCUUAGGGUCGUAAAGUACUUUCGCCUGGGAACAAGACAAUUUGACUAACAAUCAAAGAGUUUGAGGGUAUCAGGUAAAGAAGCACCGGCUAACUCCA